rnacentral:rRNA from 1 species
UCGGUUUCUAUCUAUGAUAGACUUAUACCCAGUACGAAAGGACCGGCAUAAGAAAGCCAAUGCUAAAAACACGCUUUCACACAACCAUAAAAUUACCCUUCUACUUCUUUUUAAACCAAGACAAGGUUAAUUAAGGACACAGCCCUUA